CCCAGCAGUCCGCUUCCUUCUCUAGGCUUGCUGAGCCUCUCGAGCAUCCUCCUAACUGCUUUGGCCCUAACUUCCUUUAAUGAGCUACCUUUCAUCAUCACGUGCUGUCAUAGGGCUUUCUUUCCCUUGGCCUCAUCGGCCUCUGGCUCGUCUUGUGCUAGGACUCUCAGGUCCCUAAGGGGAAAGUGCCAAGCAGUUGCAACUUGUCUCUGUGUUAUGUCAUCUGUGUCUAUGUUAUGGUGUCUGUGUUAUGUAGUGUGUGUCCAUUGUCUUCCACGUCAUAGGCCUUUGUUACAUUUCGAUGCUUUAUCGGCACUCUUCUGUGCCAUAUAGGCCGUGUUCUACUCACAUUCCUUUCCGGAUAUCCCUUAUUCCAGCAUCUUUACAUUUUUACUCUUUGAGACAGGAAUGUCUCACAGGGACAAGAUGUUCUCAUCCAUCUUCCUUCUCACUACCAGCUUUGGUAGUGCCUUUUUUCCAUUUUCUUGGACUUCUAGAGGGAGUGUCUUACACCCUCCUCACAUGACUGCAGUAGUUCUAUAGGUUCCAUCUUCUCAAAGGGUAUAGGGCUCAAGAAUUCAUCUUCCAGAGAGUUAUCUCCAGUCCUGGCUUGUAUUGUAUGUACCUAUAUCGUGUGUACCUAUAUUGACCUAUAUUGUAUGUACUCACAUUGUAUGUACCUAUGCUGGCUUGUACUGUAUGUACUUACAUUGUAUGUACCUAUGUUGACUUAUACUGGGUGUACUUACACUGUAUGUAAGUGCGGCGCCCUAUAUUAUGUGUAUUUACACUCUGUGUAUGCUUGCACUGUGUGCAUCAGCUUAUAUUGUGUGUACUUACAUUGUACCACUUAUGAUCGGAGCUGCCCUGCCCUGGUACGUAGUCACAGUUAGGUAGAACAGUUAUAGAAAUUUUACUGUUCAUCUGUCUUCUAUGGGAUUUUGGGUAGAAAAUUUAUCAGUCCAGAGUGGGGACAAGUCCUAGCUGUCAGAUAGCCACUCGUUGACCCUUCCUGUCGUCUCACAGGUCCCCGAGGCUGCUGAUUUCCCCAGGAUCUGCCAUUUACGUCAAGGAGCGGCAGCCAGAAGAUGUGUCAAAGCACGUUCUUCAGCAUCUCAGAAAGGUGGAGAUGUGCAGAAGGGGCUGCAUGAAGUGAGAUGAAAUUUGGGGCAGCUUCUUAAAUUUAGAGAACAAGAAAGGACCCUGAAUUUGAUGCAUCCACAUGACAUCUGUCACCUGGAAUCCACAGUUUGUCAGCUCUGUUCCCAGUUGGGAGAAGUGAAGAGGAUCUGUGAAAACAAGGUCCAAGACCUUGAGAAGCAGUUCUACCUAGCUCAUUCUGAGACAGCAGAAGCUCAGACAGGCAGCACUCAGAAUUCCAAACUGAGGACCCGUGUUAUUUCUCAGACAAGAAAUACGGGACGUGGAAGCCCCAUGCAGAGUGUCAAGGAUAAGAAAGAAGCCAGAAUAUGUGAAAUGGAGGCCAAGCUGAGCAAACUGGAGCUGGAAAAGGUUCAACUGGUUAGCACAUGCACCAAGAGGCUCCAGGCACUGAAUGAUGCAAAACUGGAAAAAGAUGAUCUCCUGCAGGAACUCUGGGCUGGCCAGAAGCAGCUAGCUGGCCCUGCAGGAGCUGCAGGGCCCAGGCUACUCCUCAGCUUCUGCCUCAGGGAAGCUGCAGCACUCUGUGCCUCAGUCCCACCUGCUCUCUGCUGUCUGGCCACAUGCCCUGCACCUGCCCAGCUCUGCCCCCCAGAAGCCUACCAAGCUGGACAUUUUGAAGGAAGAACCAUUGUAGGAUCUGAAGAGGAUUUCUUCAAGAAUUAACAAGCUCAGACAGUGAACUUCCCUCUGUGGAUCUCAACAGCCAUGGUGGGAGAAAAUCCCUUUUAACAACCAUGAGGAAUGCAGGGUGUCCUUCCUGCUCACAUCCUGCAGAUCCUGAGUCCCAGAGUGUUUCCCUGCUCCUGACAUCCCUUGUUUCUCAGCCCAUGGAACUAGUGAGCCCACAUCAAAGAAGCUACAGAACAAGAUGGAGAGCCUGCAAAACCUGGUGGAAUCAUCUCAGAUGAAAA